GAUGAACGCUGGCGGCGUGCUUAACACAUGCAAGUCGAACGAUGAAGCCCAGCUUGCUGGGUGUAUUAGUGGCGAACGGGUGAGUAACACGUGAGUAACCUGCCCUUAACUCUGGGAUAAGCCUGGGAAACUGGGUCUAAUACCGGAUAGGAGCGCCUACCGCAUGGUGGGUGUUGGAAAGAUUUAUCGGUUUUGGAUGGACUCGCGGCCUAUCAGCUUGUUGGUGGGGGAAUGGCUCACCAAGGCGACGACGGGUAGCCGGCCUGAGAGGGUGACCGGCCACACUGGGACUGAGACACGGACCAGACUCCUACGGGAGGCAGCAGUGGGGAAUAUUGCACAAUGGGCGAAAGCCUGAUGCAGCGACGCCGCGUGAGGGAUGACGGCCUUCGGGUUGUAAACCUCUUUCAGUAGGGAAGAAGCGAAAGUGACGGUACCUGCAGAAGAAGCACCGGCUAACUACGUG
rnacentral:rRNA from 1 species